ACAAAAUUCAAGUACGGUUAUAGAAUAUUUUGAGAACGUACCUGGGUUGCCCAAGAUCAAAGAUAACUGCAACCCGGCGACAUGGAUGCUAGAGGCUACUUCAGCUUCAGUAUAAUCUGAACUAGGAAUAGAUUUUUGCCGAAAUUUACAAGAGUUCUGCCUUGUAUGAGAACAAUAAAGAGCUUGUAAGGCUAUUGAGUAAUCCCCCUCCAGGAUCCAAAGAUGUGUAUUUUCCAACCCAAUAUGCCCAAAACUAUUGGGGACAGAUCAAAAAUUGCCUAUGGAAACUGCAUUUAUCUUAUUGGAGAAAUCCUUCAUACAACUUGAUGCGUUUCGUGUUCACUAUUGUAAUUUCUUUGACUCUAGGCAUGUUCUUUUGGGACCAAGGAAGCAAAAUAAACAACCAGCAGAAUUUAUUCAACAUUUUUGGUUCAAUGUAUGGAGCUGUGAUGUUCCUUGGAAGCAACAGCGGCUCAGCCGCUCAGCUGUUCAACCAUCUGUGGCAACCGAG